rnacentral:rRNA from 1 species
UGGGGAAUUUUGGACAAUGGGCGAAAGCCUGAUCCAGCAAUACCGCGUGUGUGAAGAAGGCCUUCGGGUUGUAAAGCACUUUUGUCCGGAAAGAAAUCCUUGGCUCUAAUACAGUCGGGGGAUGACGGUACCGGAAGAAUAAGCACCGGCUAACUACGUGCCAGCAGCCGCGGUAAUACGUAGGGUGCAAGCGUUAAUCGGAAUUACUGGGCGUAAAGCGUGCGCAGGCGGUUUGCUAAGACCGAUGUGAAAUCCCCGGGCUCAACCUGGGAACUGCAUUGGUGACUGGCAGGCUAGAGUAUGGCAGAGGGGGGUAGAAUUCCACGUGUAGCAGUGAAAUGCGUAGAGAUGUGGAGGAAUACCGAUGGCGAAGGCAGCCCCCUGGGCCAAUACUGACGCUCAUGCACGAAAGCGUGGGGAGCAAACAGGAUUAGAUACCCUGGUAGUCCACGCCCUAAACGAUGUCAACUAGUUGUUGGGGAUUCAUUUCCUAGUAACGUAGCUAACGCGUGAAGUUGACCGCCUGGGGAGUACGGUCGCAAGAUU